rnacentral:rRNA from 1 species
AGUCGAGCGGGAUUCACUGUCAUUGAUUCUUCGGAAGAUUUGACUUUGAUGAGAGCGGCGAACGGGUGAGUAACGCGUGGGUAAUUUGCCUCAAUGUUUGGGAUAGCCUUUCGAAAGGAAGAUUAAUACCGGAUGUGGUUGUUUAACGCAUGUUAGACGUACUAAAGGUGGGGAUUCUUCGGAACCUGCCGCAUUGAGAUAUGCCCGCGUCCCAUCAGCUUGUUGGUAAGGUAACGGCUUACCAAGGCGAAGACGGGUAGCCGGCCUGAGAGGGUGAUCGGCCACACUGGGACUGAGACACUGCCCAGACUCCUACGGGAGGCUGCAGUCGAGAAUCAUUCACAAUGCACGAAAGUGUGAUGAUGCGACGCCGCGUGGAGGAUGAAGGCUUUAGGGUCGUAAACUCCUGUCAGGAGGGAAAAACCUCCCAGGUAUUAAUACUACUUGGGAUUGAUGGUACCUCCAGAGGAAGCCACGGCUAACUCUGUGCCAGCAGCCGCGGUAAUACAGAGGUGGCAAGCGUUGUUCGGAUUUACUGGGCGUAAAGGGUGCGUAGGCGGCAUUAUGUGUCGGAUGUGAAAUCUCACGGCUUAACCGUGGAACUGCAUCCGAAACUACAAAGCUAGAGUAUUGGAGAGGUAAGUGGAAUUCUUAGUGUAGCGGUGAAAUGCGUAGAUAUUAAGAGGAACACCGGUGGCGAAAGCGACUUACUGGACAAAUACUGACGCUGAGGCACGAAAGCUAGGGGAGCAAAAAGGAUUAGAUACCCUUGUAGUCCUAGCCGUAAACGUUGUGUACUUGGUGUGCGGGGAAUUAUCCCCCUGCGUGCCGGAGCUAACGCGUUAAGUACACCGCCUGGGGAGUACGGUCGCAAGAUUAAAACUCAAAGGAAUUGACGGGGGCCCGCACAAGCGG